CUGGUUUAGCCUGCUUCAGGCUUAUGGAAGGCUACAACUGAGCAGCUGCUGAAGCAAACAGGGAAGCCAGAAAGAGACAUCAACAGAAGACAAAGGAAGACAGAGCUCCAAAUAAGCAGUCACUGACUCCUGAGGGUUUCUGCCAUGGCCCAGGAGAAAGGCAGUAGAACUGGAAGCAGGCUGACUUAUUAUACAAUAUGGCAACAAUCGUCUCUCACAGGAAAGGAAUAUCAUUAACUGACACGAUUGAGACCAGACACUGUCAAUUCGACAUACAGGGUUUAGAAAAUUGUUCCCAUGAAAAUCCUGAAGGAGACUGAGUUCAGCAAAGCAAACAGGAAGUGAAGUUCAGUUUGUGGAAAGCCCAGGAAACAGCAACACGUCACUGAAUAAUGUGCCCUCUGCUGAAGAGUCUUGGAUAAUGGGAAUGUGGUGUGCUAGUAAUCCAACCAAAUUUCUACAUGGAUAGUAUUUUCCCCUACAUGUUCUAUAGGCUUUCAUGCUAUGUAAAAUAAACCCAGAAUAGAGUUCGUGGAAACUUCUA
rnacentral:lncRNA from 1 species